rnacentral:snRNA from 1 species
AUCGCUUCUCGGCCUUUUGGCUAAGAUCAAGUGUAGGAAAAGAAAUUAUUAUAUCACAAAUAUUCAUGCACUUGUAUGUUUAUCACAGCACUAUUC